rnacentral:rRNA from 1 species
GACGAACGCUGGCGGCGUGCCUAAUACAUGCAAGUUGAGCGAUGAAGAUUGGUGCUUGCACCAAUUUGAAGAGCAGCGAACGGGUGAGUAACGCGUGGGGAAUCUGCCUUUGAGCGGGGGACAACAUUUGGAAACGAAUGCUAAUACCGCAUAACAACUUUAAACAUAAGUUUUAAGUUUGAAAGAUGCAAUUGCAUCACUCAAAGAUGAUCCCGCGUUGUAUUAGCUAGUUGGUGAGGUAAAGGCUCACCAAGGCGAUGAUACAUAGCCGACCUGAGAGGGUGAUCGGCCACAUUGGGACUGAGACACGGCCCAAACACCUACGGGAGGCAGCAGUAGGGAAUCUUCGGCAAUGGACGAAAGUCUGACCGAGAAACGCCGCGUGAGUGAAGAAGGUUUUCGGAUCGUAAAACUCUGUUGGUAGAGAAGAACGUUGGUGAGAGUGGAAAGCUCAUCAAGUGACGGUAACUACCCAGAAAGGGACGGCUAACUACGUG